GGCGAUGUUUGAUCAUGGCUCAGAACGAACGCUGGCGGCAUGCCUAACACAUGCAAGUCGAACGCCUGUAGCAAUAUAGGAGUGGCGCACGGGUGAGUAACGCGUGGGAACCUGCCCUGGAGUGGGGGAUAACCGAGAGAAAUUUCGGCUAAUACCGCAUACGACCUGAGGGUGAAAGAUUUAUCGCUCUUGGAGGGGCCCGCGUCGGAUUAGCUAGUUGGUGGGGUAAUGGCCUACCAAGGCAACGAUCCGUAGCUGGUCUGAGAGGAUGAUCAGCCACACUGGGACUGAGACACGGCCCAGACUCCUACGGGAGGCAGCAGUGGGGAAUAUUGGACAAUGGGGGCAACCCUGAUCCAGCAAUGCCGCGUGAGUGAUGAAGGCCUUAGGGUUGUAAAGCUCUUUCGGCGGGGACGAUGAUGACGGUACCCGCAGAAGAAGCCCCGGCUAACUUCGUGCCAGCAGCCGCGGUAAUA
rnacentral:rRNA from 1 species